ensembl:lncRNA
CUACUCUGCCCUUCCCAACCCCCCUCCGGGUCUGGGGCAAACGCCAUCUCUGCUUCUGGAACUUUCGGGUGGGGCUGCGGGACGCUCUGCUUUCCUCUCAACGUCUUCCAAGAACCCUGGGGCGUCCGUAGAAGUUUCUGGAAGGCGGCGCUCAAAAAUGAAGGUUUAACCUCUCAGGUUCCUGCAGCCCAGACUGCAGGUUUGGGAGGGGUGAGAGGUGGGAAGAAGAGGGGAAGGGACGGGGGGUGGGUGGCGGGGUCACAGGGCCUAGAGCGGCUGAGGUCAAGGACGGGGUUGCCUGGGGUCCCGGGGAGACCUGGCCCGGUGACGUUGUGGCCACGCCCACCAGGAGGUGGGGAGGCGGCGGUCACUUGCGCCUGCUCAAUGGAGCCACGCCCUCUGCCUCAGGCCACACCCACCACCACUCCAGGGCUCCCGGGGACCGCCCCUCCUCGGGCAGCUCGGACUCUGGACUCACGGACCUCAGCGCCCAAAGGAUCAGUGUCUCCUGUUACUCACCGCAGCCUCCAACCAUCGCCUCGCUACUCUCUGUGCACCCACCCACUCCAACACCUGGCAUUUUCCUUCAACUGCACCCUUCAAGUCCACAGACACACAGGCCUCAGGCCUUCGCCUCCAUCACCGGCCCAGUGAAAAGGCAGCUUGCCCAAGAGGCCAGAGCACAGAUGCCUCCCCACCCCACCCCACAGCUGCCCACUCAGCCGAGAGAGAGAGAGAGAGAGAGGCCGCGCCCAGCGCAGGCCCGUGUGCAAACAGUGCUUUAGACAACCUCAGGCAUCGUAUUUCAUGAGUGAGCCAAAUGUAGAAAGGAUUAGCUGUUUCAGCCAGUAAGCCCACAUCUGUAGUUACAUUCUAACAGGGAUAAAAUUACCCUGGUUAUUAAUCCUUCUGCUUUAGGGUAUAAGCUGAUCACCAGCUGGGGUCAGGAAAAAAAUCCUGCCCCAGCUCCUGCCAAUCUCCCGUCGACCCCCAUCCUCAGUUGCCCCAUCUCCUGUGGUGUACCAGUGCAGUUUCUGUCUGCAAACCAAGUUCAAGGCCACCAACGGAAGCACCUCUAAGACAGGACAGCUCCAGUCUGUUCUGGAGACGACAGCCAUUCAAUCACGUGAGUUUGCACUGAGAAUCUACUUCGGUUUCUACUGUGGCACAGAGACAAUUCCUGCACAGCCCUUCUUUUUUUCGUGCCAACCAGAGUUGAAGUGGGCAGUCAGAAACCAUGCCUGGUUUCUGAGACUUCUGCCCUGAGGCGCCGGAGGUGUAUCAGGUGGCCUGGGGGAAGCCAGUGUGGCUAUUUCCAAGCCCACUGCCAACAAGGAAAGGAGCCAUUCCCUCUCGCCUCUGCUGAUGGGGUGUCUCCCUCUUGUGAGCAGGCGGAGAGGCCGGAGUAGCUGUGUUUCCUUCUCUGAUCCGUUCUCUUUGGACCUCAUAACUGCAGGCACUGGAGACUUGCAGAUGUCUCCAUUUCCCUGGGUGGGACCAACAGGAGAGACACAGGUUGAGAACCAGGACUUAGCCUUUCCAGAUCAUUAGGAAUGACAACCCACAAGAAGUGACAUCCCUGCGAGGCUGAGUAAGGGCUGACCACAUGAUCUAGCAUCAUAGGGACCUGUCAGUAAUGAAAAGAAGUGCCAUGGAUAAUCACAUGGGACUUUCCUGAGUAUGGCUCUCCCAGAUGGCACAGUGGUAAAGAUUCUACCUGCUAAUGCAGGAGACACAAGAGACAUGGGUUUGAUCCCUGGGUCAGGAAGAUCCCCUGGAGAAGGAACUGGCUACCCACUCCAGUAUUCUUGCCUGGGAAAAUCCCAAGGACAGAGGAGCUUCGCAGGGUACAGUCCAUGUCACACACAUGCACACACACAUUCCUGACCAAAACAGACUGGAUUCACCUAAUCUGAGGUCAUCUAUGCUGGGAAGGGCCAUGAACAGGAUACCACUGAGACGACAGUGUCAGCUUCUCCUGAUGAGGUCCCUGCGUCCCUUCCUGUGGACCCAUCUCCAGCGACCUCAGCCCUCUGCCCCCGCCCCAGGCUCCUGUGCCCCCUCUACCUGAAGCAGCUAUCUUUCCUCUCUCCAGUGCUGGAUCAGCCCAACUGUCUGUUUUAUUGGUGCCAGGUCCAGCGUUAAGAGAUAAUAGACUGUCAUCAAUAAUGUUCAUCCGGUGAAUAAAUCUGGGCUGACCCCUUCA